rnacentral:rRNA from 1 species
UACGAAGGCCUCAAGCGUUAUCCGGAUUUAUUGGGCGUAAAGGGUGUGUAGGAGGUUUUAUAAGUCUUUCCGUAAAAUCUUGCCGCUCAACGGCAAGCUCGCGGGGGAAACUAUAAGACUAGAGGGUGCAAGAGGUCUGUAGAACGCACGGUGUAGGGGUGAAAUCCGUUGAUAUCGUGCGGAAUACCAAAGGCGAAGGCAGCAGACUGGUGCAUUACUGACUCUGAAACACGAAAGCGUGGGGAGCAAAAAGG